rnacentral:tRNA from 1 species
GCCGGGCUAGCUCAGCGGUAGAGCAGCGGUUUUGUAAACCGAAGGUCGGGGGUUCAAUCCCCUCGCCCGGCA